UAGGGAAUCUUCGGCAAUGGACGAAAGUCUGACCGAGCAACGCCGCGUGAGUGAAGAAGGUUUUCGGAUCGUAAAACUCUGUUGUUAGAGAAGAACAAGGACGUUAGAAACUGAACGUCCCCUGACGGUAUCUAACCAGAAAGCCACGGCCAACUACGUGCCAGCAGCCGCGGUAAUACGUAGGUGGCAAGCGUUGUCCGGAUUUAUUGGGCGUAAAGCGAGCGCAGGCGGUUUCUUAAGUCUGAUGUGAAAGCCCCCGGCUCAACCGGGGAGGGUCAUUGGAAACUGGGAGACUUGAGUGCAGAAGAGGAGAGUGUACUUCCAUGUGUAGCGGUGAAAUGCGUAGAUAUAUGGAGGAACACCAGUGGCGAAGGCGGCUCUCUGGUCUGUGACUGACGCUGAGGCUAGAAAGCGUGGGGAGCAAACAGG
rnacentral:rRNA from 1 species